rnacentral:rRNA from 1 species
UACGAAGGGGGGCUAGCGUUGCUCGGAAUUACUGGGCGUAAAGCGCACGUAGGCGGCUUUCUAAGUCGGGGGUGAAAUCCUGGAGCUCAACUCCAGAACUGCCUUCGAUACUGGAAGCUCGAGUCCGGGAGAGGUGAGUGGAACUGCGAGUGUAGAGGUGAAAUUCGUAGAUAUUCGCAAGAACACCAGUGGCGAAGGCGGCUCACUGGCCCGGUACUGACGCUGAGGUGCGAAAGCGUGGGGGAGCAAACAGG